rnacentral:lncRNA from 1 species
CUUCGGAGCGAAAAACUGAUUCAAGAUCGCGCAUUUUCACUCUCUUUUGAGAAGUUUCGGAGGUUUCUUUGAUUUCCAUACUACACCUUUUCUGUUCCAACAAAAUCAAAACCAAAACCUCGAAUUCUGAAAUUAAAAUAAAUAUCAAUAUCAAAUAUAAAGAAACCGAAUGUAGUUAAAAAAAAUCCAACCUUUGAUUCAGAUCUGUGCUCUGUUGGAGACUGAUUCACACCACCCAUGAAAUGCUGUUUUGUUUUUGGAAAAAGAUCUAUCAAUUUAAUUUCAAGAUUCGGUAGUCGCUCUUUCUGAGCAAAACCUCGAAUUCAAACUGAAAGCUUCCAGCUUUAAUCAGUCUGCCACGUCAAAAUUAAAAGAGGGAAGAGGAGAAAAAGAAGGCAGGUAGACUGAAGGUUUCUUGAUUAAGGUAUGUCAAUGGCGAAAUUUGAAAAUUAGUCAACCGGUUUAGGAGUUAGGACUAUCCCUCUCCCACUCAAGAUAUUUGGAUUUGAAUAUCAGAGGGAGCGCGCUGAGAAAAAAAAGCGCUUCGAUUUAUUUGUUUAAUUGCGACAUUUUUAAUUUUUACUUGUUUUUGCCUUUUUG